UGUAUGUACUGAAGGUGAUCACUUUCAUCAGGUCUGUUUCUUUUCUCCCGCAGAAUGUGAGAGAUGUGACCAACCGUCCACUCACUGAGUUCAUGGCUCCCUGUAUUGACUCCCUCCCACCACUGGCUUUCACCAAUCGGAGGCCUAUACCAACCAUGUUGCAUCCCCCCUCUCCAUUGGCCAUACGCGCUCAGGAUGCACAGCGGUUCAUUGUAUUUUCCUACUUUGUCCCUGCUGAGUGCCCAGUUGCCACAGAGGCCACUGCAGAUGUAUCUGCUGGUAAAAGAGAGGACUUAUCGACAGAUACACAUCUUUCCUCAAUGCUUCAUCGAUACCUGCCACACUUCUUUAACGAUGACUCCAUUCCACCACAGCAGACAGAGGGAACCACUGAGGUCUCAGUUGCUCCAGUGGCAAUAUCUAAUAUCAAGGAAGAGGACAGAUUCUAUCCUUUCUCCCUUCCACCACUGGCUCAGCGGUUCAUUGGCAAUUCAUUCAAUGUCCCGGAAACCUCCCAGCUUGCUGUUUCAGCCAUGGAGUGCCGAGUUGCCAAUGUGGCCACUGCAGGUACAGCCACUGUCAAGAGAGAGAACCGAUGGGAAGCUAGAAUUCUUCCUUCAGUGCAGCCUCCAUGCCUGCCACCAGUCUUUGACAAUGACUUCAUGCCUCCAGAGCACACAGUAGAGGAUGCCUAUGAGGUCUCAUUUGCUACAGAGGCCACUUCAGACACAGCUACUGUUGAUGGAGUGGACAGAUCAGCAGCGAAAUGCCCUGUCCCAAUGCUGCCUCCAAGUGUGCCAGGUGUCUUUGACAUUGACAACAAACUGUCAGGGGCAGCAGCAGAGGGAACCAACAAGUGUCCAGUUGCCAGUGAAACAACCAAUGAUGUGUCCACUCACCUCAAAGAGGACAUGGCAGCUGAUCAAAGCCCUCCUGACCCUGCAGCACUGCCUCCAAGCUCACCAUAUAUCUGUGACUCUGACCACAAACUGACCAAGGAGGAAAAAGAGGAUGCCACAGAGUCCUCCCUUGCCACAGAGAUCACUGCAGGCAAUUCCAUUGUCCAGGGAGAGGACCUGGAUAAAAGCCCUGCUCCAAGGCUGCCUCCAAGCUUGUCACACAUUUUGGACAAUGACCAUAAGCAGCCAGAGGAGACGAUAGAGGGCGCCACUGAGUGCUCAGUCGCCGCAGAGGCAUCAGUUGCUAAUAGAGAGGAUCCAUCGGCAGCUACAGCUCUUCACACAGUGCUGCCUUCAAGUCUGCAACUUGUCUUUGACAAUGACUACAAACGGCCAGAGGAGGCAGUAGAGGGCGCCAGCAAGUGUCCAGUUGCCAGUGAAGCAGCCGCUUCUGUGUCUACUGUCCUCCAAGAGGAGUUUUUGACUCAUAAAAGUCCUCCUGCUCCCGCAGCACUGCCUCAAAGGCUACCCUGCACCCACAACAUUGACCACAAACAGCCAGAGGAGACUGUUAAGAACACCACAGAGUGCUCAGUUGACAUAGAGGCAUGUGCAGUUGCAUCCACUGUCAAGAGAGAGGAACUGACAGGUGAUAAAAGCCCUGUCCAUGCACUUCCUCCAAGCCUGGAAUGCAUCCAUGACAAGGACCACAAGCAGCCAGAUCAGAAAGGGAGGGGCACUACUGUGGAGUUGGAUAUCUGCCCUCACGGUCACCAGCUGGUCUCAGAUGCUAACUUAACUCUGGCAACCCGCAAUGAUGAGCUGCCCACCCCUCUGAUCUGCGUGGUCACUAAGACGCCUGUUAGAGUGGGAGCCUCCAUAUGCAGGUCAGAGGAGGAGGAACCCAGGCCCUGGACCCUGGAAGAGGCAAAGGAUUAUUGCAUUGGCAUUGAAAUUGAGAGUGAAGAGAGGAGCGUCAAGGAGAUGAGCCCGAAGGAGGGAUUGAAGCAUGAGGCAGACUGUGCCCAUUCCAAGUGCUCCAAUGGGAUGGUUUCAUCAGAGAGAGCAGUGACCAUCCUGGGAAGAGUGGGCUUUCUGGUCAUGAACCCCAUGAAGAAAAUCCAGUUUUUGAAGAUGAAGGAAAAAGAGGAAAAUAAGAAACUGAAUAAGAAGUUGAAAGAUGAUGAGAAAGAGAGAAAGGAG
rnacentral:lncRNA from 1 species